rnacentral:rRNA from 1 species
UACCGCGGUUAAACGAGCGACUCAAGUUGAUGGGUCACGGCGUAAAGGGUGGUUAGGAUUGAAUACAAACUAAAGCCGAACACUUGCAGAGCUGUUAUACGCUUCCGAACGUAAGAAGGACAUCUACGAAAGUGGCUUUAAUACUCCUGAACCCACGAAAGCUAAGGUA